rnacentral:rRNA from 1 species
UACGUAGGGUGCGAGCGUUGUCCGGAAUUACUGGGCGUAAAGAGCUCGUAGGUGGUUUGUCGCGUUGUUCGUGAAAACUCACAACUCAAUUGUGGGCGUGCGGGCGAUACGGGCAGACUGGAGUACUGCAGGGGAGACUGGAAUUCCUGGUGUAGCGGUGGAAUGCGCAGGUAUCAGGAGGAACACCGGUGGCGAAGGCGGGUCUCUGGGCAGUAACUGACGCUGAGGAGCGAAAGCGUGGGGAGCGAACAGG